rnacentral:rRNA from 1 species
CCUACGGGGGGCAGCAGUGAGGAAUAUUGGUCAAUGGGCGCGAGCCUGAACCAGCCAAGUAGCGUGAAGGAUGACUGCCCUACGGGUUGUAAACUUCUUUUAUAAAGGAAUAAAGUGAGGCACGUGUGCCUUUUUGUAUGUACUUUAUGAAUAAGGAUCGGCUAACUCCGUGCCAGCAGCCGCGGUAAUACGGAGGAUCCGAGCGUUAUCCGGAUUGAUUGGGUUUAAAGGGUGCGUAGGUUGGUUGUUAAGUCAGUUGUGAAAGUUUGCUGCUCAACCGUAAAAUUGCAAUUGAUACUGGCAGUCUUGAGUACAGUUGAGGUAGGCGGAAUGCGUGGUGUAGCGGUGAAAUGCAUAGAUAUCACGAAGAACUCCGAUUGCGAAGGCAGCUUACUAGCCUGCCACUGACAUUGAUGCACGAAAGCGUGGGUAUCAAACAGGAUUAGAUACCCUAGUAGUC